UGUAGGCUGAGGGCUCAGUGCAACAAAAACUUGAGUUGCUCACAGAACAGCUACUCUGAUUCAGAUGAAAGCUGGGGAGGACUUUGGUCUUUCUUGGAAAAUACUUGUGCUUUUUUGUUGAUUGUUCUUGUUCCCAACAGAGACAGAAGUGAACUAAUCUCCCAAACUGGGAUGCUCAGAGAUGUCCAAAGUGAGAUAGGACUGGCAAGAAUACAAUACACAGAUUAAUAAGGAAGUCAUUAAGGGAUAGAAAAGCUCUGAUGUGAUGGAGUGGCUUUUAGUUUGAAGAAAAAUAGAAUGUCUUGCUCCUGAGUACCCUGAACAAUGAAGAUGAAGAUACCUGUUCCAGAAAGUAGACUUGGACCCCCAAGUUGUUUCAUACUUAGGUCCUGGGAAAUUAAAUGCAAGGAGCCACUGUAAGGUGCUAGACCUGAAGUUCCCAUCCUGUGGUCCAAGAAAAGCUGGCACAUCACAUGGAACAUUUACUUUUGGCUCAGGAAGAGACCACAAGAUGCACUGUUUGUUACUGAAGUGAUAGUACUUUUGCCCUGGGCACCUUACUUCAGAGGAAAGAUGCUUCCCAAAACAGUUUUCAGCCACUGAUCUUUCAGCUCCGUGGUACGUAGAUUUGGAGUGGCAGAGUUGCACAUGAAGCAUGUAGGAUGAGGUGCCACGUGGCAACAGCUUUCUCUUCUGGCUGUGCUGAGGAGCUCUCAGCACACUGUACUCCCACCUGCCAUUGCAGCAGCUCAUGUGUGGAGGCACCUCUGGAGAACACCAGGUCCAAACCCCAGCCCAAAGCAGCGCCUCCUGGAACUACACAGGGCCAUGGCUGAGUGAGAUCACAAUGGUGGCUGAGAAAUCUUUGUUGCUCCCUUUUCUCCCAUCAGCAACACUCAUAUCCAGGCUGAAUAAAUCCUUCAACAGCAUUCUUUGCUUGUGGCCGUUUGAUGUGCUUCCAAGCAGCUACAAACAUGGGAGACACCCAAACUGCUUAGUGCCAGAAAGGCUGAAACUGCACUGCCAUGGGAGCCUGAACGGCAGAGGGGCCACCUGGCAGUGCCCUGCAGGACCCAAGGUGCUCACCCACCCACUACGCAAGAAGCUCCUCAUGUCCUUCCGCUCUGCGGUGGGCAGCACCUGGAGUGCCUUUCCUAGCUCUGAUUCUAUUCUUCUGCUCCAAAGCAACAAGCCAAACUCCCCACCAGCAUUCAACCUCUGUGCCAAAAAGAAAAUAACAAGAGUAAAAGCGCUGCACAACAGAAACACAUAGGACAGUGAAAAGGCUGGGAUUGCUGGGGAGUCCAGCAUAGUCGCGUCAGGGUGCUCAGGUCGGUGCUGCUGCAGCAUUCAUCCAGGCCAAUGGGGAAGGUAGGUGGUUGGUGGCUGUGAGCACCUCCCCUGGAUGGAAAAUGACACCUCUGCUCAGCUCUGGACAUUUCUGAAUGCCACAGGAGGUUGGGGAGACCAGCCCAGCUGGAAAGAGGGUAGACAUGCUCCAGCAUCAAUGCCAUCAGCUCUGACAAGGUCCUGGCUGGCUGCAGCACGCUGAUGUCCUCAUAAACCAAGGCUUUCUCUCUGAUGGCUGUGCAAACGAGAAGCUGGGCUUAACUGGAGCACAGUGCUGUUGCUGGCUUUAACUCUCCAAUGAACUCUCCAAUUCCCAUUUUCCCAGGGCAGUUCAGCGCCAGGGUAAAUCAGUGCAUGUGUGCAGCCCUGCUGCCAGCUGGCUGCUCCUGCCUGCAGCGGUGUCUGGUCACAGCUCUGGGGAUGUGCCCUGCAAGUCCCCCCUUGGCAGCACCUCCUGCCUGCCACGCUCACUUCCUUCAGCCUUUGCCUUUCUCCCUGCUCUGGUCCUCUGACUUCAGAACAUGGCUUUCUGUUUUAGUUCACUUCUGUAUUUAUACUGGGCCAAACUGACUGGAUACUUUCUGAACAGGGUGACCUAGGAGUUUUGAACAGACCAUCUUGUCAAAAGUUCUGUUAUUUCCCUUACCAAUGUGGUUUGAUUUGUUUUAUUUUCUUUUUUCUUGGUAAAACUGUCAAUAGGAACCACUUUUUGAAAGUCAGAAGAUGCAAAGCAGACCUUCCACAAGGAUUCCCCAAGGAGCAGAGAAUUUGAGGAUCACUGCGAAGGGCAUCAUUGCUCCUUGCUGUUCAUCCCAAACUGUCUUCAUUCUCUCACCCUGUGUAUUCCUGCACAACGGGACUGAGGGAAGUGCAUGAGAUCUAUUGCUGAACUGUGGUGUGGAUAAACUUUGUCUUCCUCAGCUAGCAUUCUGUCACCUUUCAAGAGUGAAAAAUUCAUUUUUAAAACAAAAAUCCCAAGUAAGAAACCUCACAUAGUUGCAGGAAACCACCACAGAGGUAUACAAUAUCCAGCGGAAGACCUUGCUGAAAACUGAACAGAUUACUCUUGUUAUAUGUGGUUAAACUGGGCCAUUAAUGCUAAAACAGUUCAAAGCACAAAAUAAAUUCUGAUUUUCUCCUGUCAAAGUUGGUGGUUUGGUGUUCACACAUUCUAGGCUCCGGUUAAAUGAUUUACUGUACAAUUUAAUGCCUUUCAGCUGUCACUAGCAUAAAAGGAUCCCUUGAAUGAUCUGCCAGUGAAUGAAGGCAGCACUUGCCCAGGGUGAAGUGUGGCCAGGGCUGCAGGACCCAACUUGCCAAGAUACUCAGGAACAAUCACGUAAGCCACUGUGACCCAUGUGUGGUACCCAGCGAAGUGAAGGCCACCUUGCUGUGAUCACAUCUGCAAAACCACUUCAUUUAAAGCAUACUGAGACGUUCACUCUGCUGUGGAACUUUUACGAGCAACUGCCUUUACAACAGCUCGCACCAUAGGCACGCUGCUAUUCUUUGUCCUUCUUUUGAACUCUUCUCUGCUCCUGGUCUUCCAGCGGUGUGAUUUUUUGAAGUUUUCCUUCACAAUAGCUUCUCAAAAUCCCAGUUCUCACAUAUCAACACAAAUAGGAGAAACAGUUGCCAUGGGACAGUGAAAAACAUAUUUCAGGAGCAAAGAAGGAAAUAAAAAAGGCACUGGAUUUCAGCAGUUACGUGUUGUAGUGUUUGACGUAGCUCUGAGUUCUUUGCUUUGUCUCUAGCUGCAGUGGUACUGUGCCUCUCAUGUUCAGCAGUGGGUGCACUCAGCAGUGGGUGCAGCUCUUAGCAGUGACCUCAUGGGGACACAGCAGUGCCCAGCACUGCAGCCAUGUUCUGUGGAACAGAGAGAAUACUGGUGUCACCUAAAACU
ensembl:lncRNA